rnacentral:snRNA from 10 species
NNNNNNNCCUGGCAGGGGAGAUACCAUGAUCACGAAGGUGGUUUUCCCAGGGCGAGGCUUAUCCAUUGCACUCCGGAUGUGCUGACCCCUGCGAUUUCCCCAAAUGUGGGAAACUCGACUGCAUAAUUUGUGGUAGUGGGGGACUGCGUUCGCGCUUUCCCCUG